GGGUUCAGUCUUUGGAUGGUUUUCGUGGCCUAGAUGGUGUGGGAAGCUUAGUUAUACUAUCAAAGAGAUCAAUGGAGGUUUUCGAUUUGCAUAAGGCCCUACAGGACGCGACUUGACUGUUUGGUAACAUUCAAAUUCUUGAAAUCAAGUAACAUAA